AUGUCCACCAUGGCCCACACUCCUCUCCUCCUCUUCCACCUCCUCUUCGCACUCCUCGCUCUCUGCACAGGUGCCCUGAGUUCGUAUGUGGUGACUCAACCACCCUCCGCGUCCGUGGCUCUGGGACAAACGGCCACACUCACCUGCUCUGCUGACAGCAUUGGUAGAAAAAGUGUGCUUUGGUUCCAGCAGAAACCCGGGCAGGCCCCUGUGCAGGUGAUAUACGGUAAUAGCAACCGACCCUCCGGGAUCCCCGACCGGUUCUCCGGCUCCAACUCUGGGAAGACGGCCACAGUGGCCAUCGCCAGGGCUCAGGCCGAGAGUGAGGCCGAUUAUUACUGUCAUAUGUGGGACAGCAGCAGCGUUGCUUAG